AAAAAGUGCUUUCUGAAACCAUAAGCAGCUGUCUUAUCAUAUGAUUGCCCUUUCGUAUGUCAAACACCUGAAUCACAGGGCACGCACGGCUUUUUCCUUCACACCCGGAGGAAGUCGACCAGAAGCAAGAGGAUGUGUUACUCAGAGAACAACUGCCCACGACGACGCGUAGAGAUGUGAGACGUGAGCAAUAACAAGGCAGCAUGGAAGAUGCUGGAAUAUGGAGCCUCACGCUGUGUUGCCUGUGUGGCUUGCUCAAGUGCCACUGCUUUAAUGCGGGGAGCGCUUCCAUCUGACGAAAUGGGCAAAGUGUCCUCAGAUCUUCAGAGGCACCGGUAGAUCAGAGGGCGGCUGUCACACCUCCAGGCGAUCUUCAGCCGCACUGAGCUGCUGACCCCCCUGAGACACAGCAGGUCUGCCCAGGAAGCUGCGCCAUUGUGAGAGAUUUCAAAGAGAGGAGCUGCUGCUCCAUUGAUUUUGGUUGCCCCAUCUCUAAACCAUAUCAGUGAGGUGAUGUUGUGAAAUUCUAGUGGGUCUUUAAUGUCUGCUAAUCCGAGAUAAUUGAUUUGACUGAUAAAGGAUUUUUGGGGAAGUUGCUAACUAGGUCAGAGCUGCAUAGGAGAAGGACUACCGAGUUCCAAGCAAACUAAAAUUUAAAAUUCUCUUUCAAUGAGGGGCAUAUUCAGUCUUUAAUAAUACCAUAAUAACAACCGUGUAGUUAGUAUGUCAAGAUGAUAAUAAAAAAGGCUAAACAGCAUUGGAAGAUU